AAAAGCUAGUUACUAGUUAGUUGUUAUCCUGAAAUUUCUCAUUAUUUAAACUCAAUUUUCACAUGUCGUUAAAUUAAUAAUUUACACUUUCCUAUUGAAUUAAUCAUUCAAAUUUUACUAAAUCAUAUCUGUACACCCAUUCCAUAAAUAAUUUACCAAACAAAUAUUUAGUAGUUUGUAGAAUAUAGACUACGAAGAACAUAUUAUAUACUUUCAGACAUUAAUAUUUUAAUUGUCUACUAUAAUUCAAGUAGGAUCAUUCGAGAUGCAAUUAAGUUUUAGUCAAAAUGUCUGAACAUCGAAAACAUUCAAGGAUCUCGGUGAUGCAAAUGUUUCACGAGCUAAAACAACAAUUUCCAACAGUUCCAGAUCAAGUAGUUACCGAUUGCAUAAUUAAGCAUUCAGUCAAUCGUGAAGCAUGUAUAUCAAAUUUAAAAACGGUUCAAACAAAAUACGUUCAACAAACGUAUCCGUCUGACAUAGUUGACAAAAUGGCAAACCGACCAAAAUCAUUAGAAAUGCCAUCAAAUGAUUUUCACUUAUCUAAAUUACAGUUUUUAAAUCAAUUACAUAAUACAAAUAUACCAAAUUUAACAAAAAAUAAUCACUUGGAUGAUACCCAAGAAUUAGACAUCGAAUUUAACAUCAAUAAAUGUUCAUCCAUCUCCGCUCCAUCAACUCCUUCACAAAGGAUACAAUGUGAACCUAGACACAAAUCUAGCCUAUCAUUAGACUCGGUUCCUCUCGUUGAUGCUCAGUGUCGACCAUUCACAUCGGUUAGUUUAACUUUAAGAACUCCUACUAAGGAUCCUUUACCGCCUUUGGAUUUAACUGCUGGAUGUGGAUCUGAACUCACGUAUACAGCUUGUUCAUAUGAUCCGUCUUCCGAUCCCAAUAAUUGCUACCAAUCAAGACUGCAUAUUAGUAUUGAUCCCGAAGGUGAAACUACUGUAACAACUUCACGAGUUAUGGUUUCACCGACAAUUAUCAAACCUACCAAUCGGACAACCGAUGGCCAAGUUCCUGGUUCUAUUCAAAUGGAUAGUAUUUCACCUAAAACUAAAAUGGUAAUAAUUUCUCAAUUAGAACGUAAACAGAAGUUGCUAUCGGAGUUGAAAAUAGAAAAAGAAAAACUUGAAAUUAUAAAAAAAAAUGCAGCUACAAUGGAAGCGGAUAUUUUUAAACGACGUUUUUCUUAUAAAAAGAUCGAAAGACUAAGACAUGAUGUUGAGUUUUUACGGCUUGAAUGUAACAAGUUAAUUAUUCAAGUCGAUCAAGCUGUAGAAAACAAAGUUGAAGUUAAUGAAACAAAUGAACAAUUUUAUAAACAAGUUUAUACUGGACAAAAAUUAUCAUUUGGAAAACCCAGCAACGAGUUUCAAGAUGAUUUAGAAAGUCAAAAUUGGGUUUGUCCAAUGUGCACAUUCCAGAAUCAUCCAAUAUUACCUAGAUGUGAGCAAUGUGACAUGGCCCGUUUUGAUAUAGGUACAACUAGACCAGUUGUAAAUGUUAUACCCUUGUGUGCCACAUUAACUUCGAAACUAACUACUCAGUGCUUGACGUAAACAUAAUUAUCCAUUGUGUGUUCUGGAAGACCUCAACCUUACCCUGGAAAUAUUCAUGUUCCAGUUACUCAGCGCAUAAAUCACCAGAGAAAAACAAAAAGUUUAUACUGCUAAACAAAAUAAUUAGGCAACUACUAUUCUAAUUAUUUUUAUAUAUCAGACAUAAAAAGACCAACAAAAUAUUAUAAUAUUCUAUUGUGAUACAAUGUAAUAAUAAGAUUUAUUUAUAUUAUUUUAGAUAAUUAUUAAUGAGUAUUGUUUUCUUUCUA